AAAACCCUCGCCUUCACUUUUAUUUCGCGCCUCAACCCUCCCCCUGUUUCGCCCUAAAUCCCGACACCUCACUCCUCUACCGGGCAAAACCUUCGCGAUACAGUAACCAUCAGAGCUAGCUGGUAGGACAAUAACAAGGUCGCGGCUUUUAGAGACCACCAAAACUCUCAUCCUUCCGCUCCGCUCUUACCCGUAACCUUUGAGUAAGGCAUGCUUGUUCGCGCCAUUCUCCUUGUCUUUGUGAUACAGUGGCGAUUCGAGCUAGCUGGGAAGACCAUGACGGGAUCGCGGCUUACAGAGACCACCGAAAGUCUCAUCUUUCUCAUCCUUUCGCUCCUUUCCUACCUGUAUCAGUGAGGAAGGAACAUAUUGCAUUGUGGCGAUAAAUUUCAAGUGAUUUUGCGAGGAUGUUUUCUUCAGAUCCAUCAAAAAGGAAUACAUUUCAACGCCGCAUCUGUGAUGGUGAUCUACUGAUUUUGUAUGAGAGACAUGAUAACAUGAAAGCUAUCAAAGUAAAGCAGGGUUCCGAAUUCCAGAAUAGAUAUGGACUUUUUAAGCAUUCUGACUGGAUAGGGAAACCUUUUGGUUCCAAGGUAUUCAGCAACAAGGGUGGUUUUGUUCAUCUCUUAUUUCCAACACCUGAGUUGUGGACUCUGGUUCUCAGCCACAGGACUCAGAUUUUAUACCUUGCUGAUAUCAGUUUUGUGAUAUCCUACCUGGAAAUUGUUCCGGGCUGCGUGGUUUUAGAGUCAGGGACUGGUAGUGGUUCUCUAACUACUUCACUUGCUAGAGCUGUUGCACCCUCUGGCCAUGUCUAUACAUUUGAUUUUCAUGAGCCAAGAGCAGCGUUGGCUAGGGAAGAUUUCAAUACGAAUGGGCUGGGAAGUCUUAUUACUGUUUCUGUUAGGGAUAUCCAGGGAGAAGGCUUCCCUGAUGAGUUUUGCAGAGUUGCAGACUCUGUGUUCCUUGACCUUCCACAACCAUGGUUAGCGUUGCCCUCUGCAGCAAAAAUGUUAAAACAUGAUGGUGUUCUUUGCUCUUUUUCUCCAUGCAUAGAGCAGGUGCAACGCUGUUGUGAAAUUUUACACAGCAAUUUCACUGAUUUAAGAACCUUUGAAGUUCUUCUCCGGACAUAUGAAAUCAGAGAGGGUAGGAUGGAAGUUGGAAGAAAUGGAGGACCUGCUGUGUUGAAACCACAUAAGAAACGUCAGCAUUUGUCCAGUGAAGGAGAAUGUGAGGAUGAUGAAAGAGCAAGCGUAAUGGUUAAACCAUGCAAUGAAGCAAGAGGACACACUGGUUAUUUAACUUUUGCAAGACUUGCUUUUACCUGAUUUUGACCAAGUUUAUUAAGCUACAUCGUGAUUGUUCUCCCAAUUCAUUCUUUUCUGAGAAGUGAUAAAGCCUGCAAGAGAGGUUGUAGAUGCGGAAGGCGACAAAGUGGUGCAGCCUAAUCUUGGUUGACGAGGCAGGGAACAUGACUGGAUGUUGAUGAUGUGGUGACGUGAUGCAGGUGAAGAGAGCGAUAUUGCGGCAAAUGUACAAUUUAGAAAUUUGUCAAUUCGGCCAAUUUUCUUAUGUAAGAAAAAUGGGUAAUUUGCCGUAUUUCAAAUCUCUCAAUUGUUUAUUUUAAAUUUCUUUUGCUUCAAACUAACCACAAUAAAUUUGAAGUGAUGCUAAGUAAUUACAAUACACUCCUAAUGCAGCCAACCAACUAAUCAUAUGUAUAUUACUGUAUUUAAUAAAUAUUUUAGGCCACUUUUUAAUGGUUGUUAAACCGUUAAACUUGUCAUGCAAACAAUCGCGAUGAUACAAGUUCAGGCACUUUAACAAAA